CAGAUGCUGAAUAUGUAGCGACCGCACUAUCAGAUCCCCUAGUGGCUGCCGUGGAAGGAACAACGGGUCCAGAAAAAUCUCGGUGUGGGGGAGUUCUUACCAAAGCACCUGG